CAAUAGCGUAUAUUAAAGUUGUUGCAGUUAAAAAGCUCGUAGUUGGACCUUGGACCUGGACAGGCGGUCCGCCUCACGGCGUGUACUGUCUUGCUGGGUCUUUCCUCUUGGUGAUCUGUUGUUUCGGCAGCAGGGAACCAGGACUUUUACUUUGAAAAAAUUAGAGUGUUCAAGGCAGGCUCGACGCCGGAAUAUAUUAGCAUGGAAUAAUAAAAUAGGACGUGCGGUUCUAUUUUGUUGGUUUUUGGAAUCGCCGUAAUGAUUAAUAGGGACAGUCGGGGGCAUUAGUACUCACAUGCUAGAGGUGAAAUUCUUGGAUUUUGUGAAGACUAACUUCUGCGAAAGCAUUUGCCAAGGAUGUUUUCAUUAA
rnacentral:rRNA from 1 species